rnacentral:sRNA from 1 species
UUCUAGCCCCGAUAGAAGUGGAAAUCCUUUUGUGCCGGGGUUCGGCACAAAAGAUUGUAACAGAUAGCGGGAUUAGCU